CUCAGGAUGAACGCUAGCGGCAGGCUUAACACAUGCAAGUCGAGGGGUAUGCUUCUUCGGGAGCAGAGACCGGCGCACGGGUGCGUAACGCGUAUGCAAUCUACCUUUUACAGAGGGAUAGCCCAGAGAAAUUUGGAUUAAUACCUCAUAGUAUAUAGACUCGGCAUCGAGAUUAUAUUAAAGUCACAACGGUAAAAGAUGAGCAUGCGUCCCAUUAGCUAGUUGGUAAGGUAACGGCUUACCAAGGCUACGAUGGGUAGGGGUCCUGAGAGGGAGAUCCCCCACACUGGUACUGAGACACGGACCAGACUCCUACGGGAGGCAGCAGUGAGGAAUAUUGGACAAUGGGCGCAAGCCUGAUCCAGCCAUGCCGCGUGCAGGAUGACGGUCCUAUGGAUUGUAAACUGCUUUUGUACAGGAAGAAACA
rnacentral:rRNA from 1 species